UGUGAAGUCAGAAACGUGAUGCAAUCAGCUGAUUUUUCUGAGAUGGCACAAAAUGCGAAACGUGACUGGAUUUUGUCAUAACUGGGAUUGAAUUUGAACUCACAAGCUUUGAAUCUGUCUGUGUGAUAAAACUGAAUUCGUUACAUAUUUCUUAUUCAAAUUUUAUCUGUUUGUUUUGUAAAAUACCUUGAGAUGACAUUUGACUAAAUUGACUGAAAGUGUCUUUGAGUCUAUCAACAUGCUAGUCUCAUUAUUACAGCCAUCUUGUGAUGCCAAAUCUCUUUUGCUCAUGCCAUUUCUUUGCAGAAGAUAAAAUUAAAAGCUAAAAUAUUUCCUUUGUUGUGUAAAGUUCUCAACCUAUGAAUGUUGAUACACCAAUGUCCCACAUCUGCUAAAACAGUUCAGCAGUUUGAAGCUGCAGUUACUUGAGCAAACUCACCAGAUCUCCACGCUACAUCUUCAUCUUCAUUGACCAAAGGAGGCUGUGAAAAUUAAUUUAAAUGAAAAUAAUUCUGCAAACUGACUGCCUGCUUCCAAUCUGAGGCUUCAAUUGUCGUUAAUUACAUAAACAUGAAAAUAAAGUGAAAUAAACAGGCUGAAGCUAAAUGUAGUCUAUUUAAUGUGUAUGGAACAUUUUGGACUUUACAGGCAUUAGUGACUAUUAAUCUUCACUUAGUGGUGAUUACACCUUAAAUGUUUUAGCACGUGUAUUUUCUAUGUUGCACAGUGUAGGACAACACCAUUAGGUCAAUGUGUUAUCCAUUAUCCAAAAUAUCUUACGUCUGGGUUUUACAUUUUGCAGAGAAAUAUUUAUAAUGGCAUGCUUAAAAUUAUCCAAAUGACAUCAUCUGUGAUGUUAUCUUUUUGAGAAUAGUUUUAAAAGCAGGCAAAUGUUCUGUAAAUAUGUACAGUAUAUUUAAUUUCUACGUCACUUUGUUUUGGAGAAAAAUCAAUGGAUGUGUGUAGGAGCUUUUACUAACUCGGUCGUGACUCAACACAUCAUGUUUUGUUUUGUUUUUUUUAAACAUAUGCUAAGGUCCACUAAUCUUCUUAUUGGUUUGAGGUUUUUUUUUUUCCUCUCCAACUCUGAAUAGCUUAACAAAAAUGUGCCUCAGUAAUGGAUGGUCAUAUCCUCAUCCAUCGGCCUCCUCCCACUAGCUAUGACUUGAAAUAGGCCAUCAAGUGGCUAAUGAACUGAUAAGCCCUCUGUGUCCUGUGGGGCUUAUGAACAUCAUAAGCCAAAUGUUUGGGCAUAUUUGGAGAGACUGUUUUUUUCAUUUGCUAAGUGUAGAAGUGUUUCCAAAGGAUCUUGCCUCCUCAGUUGCAUGCAUAUUCCCAUAAAUAACUGCAUGUUGUAAAAAGGAAACCCUAAGACACCCAGAGUUUUUUCUCUUUCAGGAUAUGUUGUUACUUCUGUGACUGUGUGGCCCCUGUGCUUCAUCAGACCUCCAGCUAGUCAAGCUGCUGGUAUCAUUAUCAGUUCUGGAUCUGUGUAAAUCCGUGGAUUUGUGUGAGCAGUCUGAGAAAUUAAAAUAACAUGCUUUUUACAGCGCUUACUUCAAAUCUCUUUAGACUUCAUUUUUUUAAACAUCUAAAUCUGUUAUUAUGUAGGCUGCACAAAACCCUUUUAAUGUAAUCUUUGACAAGAUUAUCAGAUUCAUUGAUGAUGUCACAAACUUAAAUAAUUUAAAUAAAAAAUGUUGACUAAGCCUGGAUAAGCACAUUCAAGGGGAUACUGCAGGAUUAGAAUAUUAUUUUUUUAAUAUUAUUUCCUAUGAGUUAUUGGCACAUAUUACAUAUCAUCAUCCUGUUUCUUUUAUUGAUAUUUUAUCAGACUGUUUAUUCCUUAAAGCACAUUAAAGUAGGCUAGUGGAGCAGCUUUGAGAUUGAUGAGUUCAUUUUGAUCUAAUUGAGCUUGUUUUAAUUGAUAGCAUUUAAAUUAAUUUCUCUCAUUUCAACAAGCCGUCCCAGAUUACUUCAAAUGUUUAAUCAAAUAUUUUCAACUUGUGUUUUAGCAGAAAAUUAUUUUUCUGUUUCUUAAGGGUUUUUAUUACAGCUCAGAAGGAAAAAAAAACUUUGCACCUGCUAGAUCUUGCAAGCUAUCCCCAUUUAAACAUUACGCUCCAUCUUGUGCUUCUGCUUUCCUUCAUCUUGUGGUUUUGAUUAAAACUCAUUGUGUAAAUGAAGCAUGUUUGAAGGCUGGAUUAUCAAUCAUUUUAACUUAUAGACUCUGAAAACAUUAGACCUUCUUAUAACCAGCAUGGUGAUUUCUAACUGUGAGUGCAGUCUUAUUUUAAAAUGGUGAGGAUGUAUUUUGCAAAGUUGGCCUAAUGGGUCCACUUCGAGAUUAGCCCACCAUCUACGUUCAGAUUUUCCUUGCAUUACCUUUUUUUUAAUAGCAUGCAAAUAGAAAAUUAAAGAAAAAUCAUAAUCAAUUGGAACAGUAUUGGUGCAAACUAUCACCAAUUUAGCUUAUUAGAUUAGACUGGAGUUAUGACUGUUAGCAUAACUCUCAAGCUUUUAAGGUUUUUCUUUGAAUGUCUGUUACUAGUGCAUAUGUUACCCUAUCUUGUCUUGAGCACUUGCGAUGUUUGCUUAUCAUUCUGGCCGGCUUGUAAAUGUUUAUGGAAAUGUUGUAAAUGUUGGUUUAUUAUUAUUUUGAUUAAUAUUUUUAGUGGGAAUUUGUGGAUCUUGCAUGUUCAAAAAUGAUUUAAAAGGAGAGCUAAAUCCAGAUAGAGUUAAUCACACUUUGCAUCUUCAGAUUUUUUUUGUGUGUGCUGAAGUGUUUUCCUGUUUUUCCACGUUUCUUAGUCUGAAGGGUGACAUUUAAAAGCGACCCUACAGUCUAUUAUUUAACACUUUUCUUCUUCCUGGAAUUUGUAUAGAGGGGUUGUUGACACUGCACAGACGUGAUCUCAUGAAUAUGCAGACCUCUCUCAGUCUAACCUAUUGUUUUCAAAUUCAAUAGUUUCAUUGUUUAGCGCCAUAACGGUGCAUAUCUGUGCACUUUAAAACGUAGACUUGAGUUGUUACAAUUAUAUGGUUGAUUGUUGCGCAUUAACUGAGAAAAAAAGUAGUACAAAUUAGUGGGACAACACCUGAAAAUAAUCUACUAUACCCUUUGGUAUAGGUCACACCGGCUGUUGCAUAUUUAGCCCUUUUUUUUGGCACACACAACUACACACUCCUUUUUUUCCUGACCACGCAGGGGUGGAAUCAGAGUGUAUUUUUUUAACGAUGAUUAUUUCAAGAAACGCUUUUAAUUAGCGGAGACUCCAAUGAAAGAGAGAUUACUGGCAAAGUCAAGGAUGCUAAUUGAAUGCUGGACUUCUGACAAUUAGCGCACUGCAGUGUUGUGCAGACUCAUUACGGAUUCCAAACCCAGACGGACUUUAUAGUCUGAAGUAUGGACUCGAGAGCAACAGAGAAAAGAACAAACUCAGUUGGAGUAGCAAAUGUUUCUCACCAAUGCAACACAACAAAUAUCAUCCAGGUACCUUUGUGUGUCUGAAUAAAGUGGCGGAACGUAUUUUACAUGAAAAGUUAAUAGAGACCACUCAAUAUAGGAAUUUAAUUACUCUUGUUUGGAGAAGCAAUAAAAAUCUUCAGGUAGCACAUUGAAACCUAAAGCCGUAACGGAAUUUAACUGUUUUAUUACAGGGUAACUUUGAGAUGAAAGAUAUACAUAAAAUAUAUGAAUUUUUAGCUCCUUCAAAGAAUGCAGUGUCCAGUAUUUUCAAAUACAGCCCAUCUUUUAUGUUUUGCUCCAAGUAUCAUUUUGUAUCACUUGAAAGUUUAAUUUUUGCUCUUUCAAGAGACAUGGCUUAUUUUGACAUGAUCUAGUUUAAAAAAUUAUGGUUAAUUACCCAACUUUACUACCAUAUUGUUCAUAUGUAAUAAGAUGGGAAUGGGAUGAUUAAGGCGGGGAAAUAAGCGUCGGACAUUUAAAAGUGGUUUUACACUGAAAAAAACAAAAAAAUAUUUGAUGACAAUUAAUUAAUUAAUUAAUACCGCAUUUCUUGUUUGAGAAGUGAAUGUCUCCUUUUGAGAUGAACCAUCGUGUUUUAUAUUAUGGAUGCUCUUGGAUAUUUCUGUAAAUUCUCCUUGCUUACACUGGCCUAUGAUAACCAUUAUUUUGUUCUUCGUAAGUUCAAAGCACACUCUUUGAAUAAGAACAUUAUGUUCCUCACGAUACUCCUGAAAAUAUAUCUAAUGCUACCCGGUAAAAUUUCCAGAUAAAAACGUGAGCAUUUCAACAAGUUGUCAUAGUACAAAAGGUCCCUGGAGAUUUAUUUUAAAAAGAUUACACGGCAGUUUGGAUGAAAGAUAUAAAAGAAUAAGAAAAGACUAAAGGAUUAUGUACAGGACUGUUUGUGCUGAUGAAAGCCUGUUAUUUUAAUUAAAACGUUAAAUGGAAGUUCAUCAACCUUAGAAUCUACAAUGUAGCUAAAAUAUUUUUUUCACUCUAAUUUGCAAUAUAUUACAAAUAAAUCAUGACAAGCCUUUUUUUGGAUGAGAAGUCCUUCUGUUUUUUUUUUUUUCAUUUUUAUGUAGUUUAUAUGUGAAAAAUAAAAUUGUGGAUUAGAUUCUGGACUUUAUGUUUGCCAGCGGCCCUGGUUUAACUUCACUCUGCCUCCCGGGAUGAUUCAUUCGACUUUCAAUCAUAAUAACAAAAAAUACUAAUGAAAGUAAUAUGUUGCGUUUUGUUGGUUAAAUUGAUAAAUGCCUUUUUAGUUCACGCAUCCUAGCAGUGAAGGUGACGAGCAAAUUAAACUACAAAUCAGCUUUGAAAUAAACGCCUCUUUGCCCCAUGCUGUAACAUGUAAUUAUUUCAGAUGUGUUGGAUCAAGAGGUUAUAAAAUAUGCAUGAGAAAACAGAGCUCGGUUGAAACUGACAAGUGUAAUUAUUACUCACUUGGAUGGCAAUUACUGGCCCAAUUAAAGCGAAACUGUGCAUUUAAACCAACAAAACGGCGACCUACUUCCGUUCCCCCCAGAAAAUAUAUCAAAUAUCUCAACAGCAUAAUAAAAGCUGAACAGUCCUUGUGACUCAAACCUGCUUGGAAAAGUAUCCACAGCUGUUUCUUUUUUUUCCCCACACACGCAUUCACACGCACACACAUACACACACAUGUAUUUUUGGUAGAAGAGUAAGCCCACAGGAUCUUUAUUCAUGUCUUUUCAGC